rnacentral:lncRNA from 1 species
CUAAAUUGUCAAAUUGUUACCUAUUGUAGUAUUUUAAUCAGUUAGACUUUCCAAGAUAACAAUACGAAUACUAAAAAUCUGGACUAAAAAUAAGGCGUAUAGGUACAGUUUUCAAUUUGUUAGUGGGCAUGACGUAAAACAGCGAGGCAAAUAAUUCAACUUUACUUAUAACUUAUAUAGGACAAUGCUGUUGAUUAAAAAAUACUCCAUUCCAGGACUUUUUGUUUUCCAAAUAAUUAAUAUUACCAAUAACUGAUAAGUUCCAGUUCGACGGGUUCAAACAGAAAGACUUGAAAGCAGAUAAAAACUGUGUAUCUUAUAAUCGGCAUGACUUUAACAGAUGACAAUACUAAUACUAAAAUAAGGCUUGCGCAUAGUUAUAUACUUUAAUUCAAUCACGGACCCGUGAUAUCACGGGUGUGUUCUAGUACAUAUUAUAUUUAUGAAA